UACGUAGGUGGCAAGCGUUGUCCGGAUUUACUGGGCGUAAAGAGCGCGCAGGCGGUCGUUCAAGUCGCGUGUGAAAGCCCCCGGCUCAACUGGGGAGGGUCACGCGAUACUGAUCGACUCGAAGGCAGGAGAGGGAAGUGGAAUUCCCGGUGUAGUGGUGAAAUGCGCAGAUAUCGGGAGGAACACCUAUGGCGAAGGCAGCUCGCUGGGACGGUACUGACGCUGGAGGCGCGAAAGCGUGGGGAGCAAACAGG
rnacentral:rRNA from 1 species